rnacentral:sRNA from 1 species
UUUGGUUGGGUGUUGAGUUUGUUUCCUGUUCUUCCUCGUCAGCCCCGGGGAUGUUGCUCAUUUCUGGUCACCUUCUCCUCCAACUGUCCUUGCUGCCCCAGGAUGGGAGGAUGGAAGGAGACGUUCUCUUCCAGAUGGCUGAAGUCCACAGGCAGAUCCAGAAUCAGCUGGAAGAAAUGCUGAAGUCUUUUCACAACGAGCUGCUCACGCAGCUGGAGCAGAAGGUGGAGCUGGACUCCAGGUAUCUGAGUGCUGCGCUGAAGAAAUACCAGACUGAGCAAAGGAGCAAAGGCGAUGCCCUAGACAAGUGUCAGGCUGAGCUGAAGAAGCUUCGGAAGAAGAGCCAGGGCAGCAAGAAUCCUCAGAAGUACUCGGACAAGGAGCUGCAGUACAUCGACGCCAUUAGCAACAAGCAGGGCGAGCUGGAGAAUUACGUGUCCGACGGCUACAAGACCGCACUGACAGAGGAGCGCAGACGCUUCUGCUUCCUGGUGGAGAAGCAGUGCGCCGUGGCCAAGAACUCGGCAGCCUACCACUCCAAG